GUUUCGUUUGUUUUCCUUGUUUUUGUCAGUGUUUUGUUUGUUUUCAUUCAUAAAAAAAUAAAAAAAUGCAUCUUCUUGAAUGUUUUAGGCUAUAGACCGACUAAUUUGAGAUUAGUUUGCGGAGACUUGGGAAAAAUUCACAAGAUCGGUAUCGUCUUAACACCGUAAGUCUCCUGCAUAUGGAAAUUGAUUCGAAUUCUUAUUAUGUUUUAGCCUUAAAUUCUCACUCUCUGACAGCUCUUGAGUAAUUUAUUUCAGCAGUCAGCACCAUCUCACACACACUCUACGCAGGGAAACUGAUGAAUAUAAGUGAGU
rnacentral:lncRNA from 1 species